rnacentral:rRNA from 1 species
AUUGAACGCUGGCGGCAUGCUUUACACAUGCAAGUCGGACGGCAGCACAGAGAAGCUUGCUUCUUGGGUGGCGAGUGGCGAACGGGUGAGUAAUAUAUCGGAACGUACCGAGUAAUGGGGGAUAACUAAUCGAAAGAUUAGCUAAUACCGCAUAUUCUCUGAGGAGGAAAGCAGGGGACCUUCGGGCCUUGCGUUAUUCGAGCGGCCGAUAUCUGAUUAGCUAGUUGGUGGGGUAAAGGCCUACCAAGGCGACGAUCAGUAGCGGGUCUGAGAGGAUGAUCCGCCACACUGGGACUGAGACACGGCCCAGACUCCUACGGGAGGCAGCAGUGGGGAAUUUUGGACAAUGGGCGCAAGCCUGAUCCAGCCAUGCCGCGUGUCUGAAGAAGGCCUUCGGGUUGUAAAGGACUUUUGUCAGGGAAGAAAAGGCUGUUGCUAAUAUCGACAGCUGAUGACGGUACCUGAAGAAUAAGCACCGGCUAACUACGUGCCAGCAGCCGCGGUAAUACGUAGGGUGCGAGCGUUAAUCGGAAUUACUGGGCGUAAAGCGAGCGCAGACGGUUACUUAAGCAGGAUGUGAAAUCCCCGGGCUUAACCUGGGAACUGCGUUCUGAACUGGGUGACUAGAGUGUGUCAGAGGGAGGUAGAAUUCCACGUGUAGCAGUGAAAUGCGUAGAGAUGUGGAGGAAUACCGAUGGCGAAGGCAGCCUCCUGGGAUAACACUGACGUUCAUGCUCGAAAGCGUGGGUAGCAAACAGG